CACAGAUGCAAUAUAAAGAAUAUAUCAGCUUGGUAAAAGAUUUCUGUGCAAGGAAGAGGGAGCUAUACCAAGAAUUCUUUGAAGGGAAAACACUGGACUCGGAGUAUAUUUCCUUUUUCUUUUGUUGGUUCAGAGCGAUGAGAGUCACAGUGACAAGAACUCAGUAGAAUCAUGGCAUAAGGCUCCAAACUCAAAAGUCUCUCACAGAUGGGAUAAAUGGCCUUCGUUUGGCUCUCAGAAGAGCAAGGAAUCUACAGAGGACACUUUUCUCAGGAACUGUAGCCAUCGUCAAAGUUCCUUUUCAAAUAAAGCUGGGCUUCAGCAGAAUUGAUAGUGUUUCUGAGAGCUCAGGGGAUCAAUAAAGGCAGCAGGAAAAGGAAAAGGCGAAUGACUGUAGCUUCUUAAAUGAGAAUUGAUUUUGUCCAUUGUCCAGUCCCAGGGCAAAGGAACAAGCUUAUCACUUCAAACCAAGAAUAGAAGGGAAACUAAUUCUCCAGUCUCAAGAAAGGACAGGCACUCAGUAAAAGGUCGCUGGGGAGAUCAACACUGUCAUAAAGAGAUCCUUUUUUACUUGACUUUCUGACAGUGAAAGUAGACUUAGGCUACUCAUCUGCAUGGCCUUCCUCCAACAUUGAUGUCUGUGGCUGCAAGGAAGCCAAGAUGCACCACCAAGGGAAAAAAACAAAUCCAUAUAUAUGCCCUUCUCUGGGAUUCACUAAAAUCGGGGAGUUUGAAGUAGUUUCAGACCUCAGCAUCUACUUGGGAAGCCCAGGAAGUUACCACCAACCUCCAUGCAACAUUGCCCAAGGAUGGCAGAGCCCUGUGGAGCUCAGAGAUGCCCUACAGUGGUCCUGUCCAGUACCUUCUAGUUUGAUCCUUUGGGCAGGCUUCAAACAGUCCUAUAUCCCAUCCUUUUUUUU